GGGCAUGCUCAGCAUGAAAAUUAGGGCCUGUGGGCCUGAGUUGUAGUCUCGGGAGGUACUACCAACAGAGGCGCUGCUGUACGUCUCUUGGAAUCGAGUAUCAAUGAGGGUGAGGGUCCCGCUUGUCAGUGGCAGCCCAUUGUGCACGGUGUGCAUUCUAAGAGUCACGUUCCUUGGGAUUGGAGCGCAAUGUGGGUGGUAAGCUUCAUCUAAAGCUACAUAUGGGCUCAAGACCGAUAGCAAACAAGUACCAUGAGGGAAAGUUGAAAAGGACUUUGAAAAGAAAGGUAAAAGUGCUUGAAAUCACUGAAAAGGAAGUGAGCGAAGCCAAUGUGUCUUUGGUGAGAUUGCUGCACACGAGUGCCACUGCUUGCUGCGCCAACGCAUGUGUUUCAGUAAGUCUUGAGCAGGCUGUGCGCAGUGCUUCUUGCCUUGCCUGUCAAUGUCGCUUCAUGUGUGAGGAAGAUUUCAAGGGCAUGGUAGCUCCCCUCACGGUGCGAAUAUUCUUGUGUGUA
rnacentral:rRNA from 1 species